UUCAAAGUCUUACCCAUGUUGCCAUUCUCAGGUAAAAAGCUACUUUCAAAGGAGUGAGUGAUCUCUAUACUUCUUUCUUUGGAAACUUUUUCUAUAAAUUGGCUAUUUGGACCUUGAAAUAGGAUUUUACUUUGAAUCUUCUAUCUUUUAUCCUUCUCUAUUCUACUUUGUCCUCCCUCACCUCAUCACCUUUGCCUUGUAUAGUUGUUCCAAAAAGGAAUCAACAUACUUAAUCACCUAGUUAUGAA
rnacentral:lncRNA from 1 species